rnacentral:rRNA from 1 species
UGGUCCCUACGGGGGGCAGCAGUGAGGAAUAUUGGUCAAUGGGCGCAAGCCUGAACCAGCCAAGUCGCGUGAGGGAAGACGGCCCUACGGGUUGUAAACCUCUUUUGCCGGGGAGCAAGCCUGAGCACGUGUGCCCAGGCGGAGAGUACCCGGAGAAAAAGCAUCGGCUAACUACGUGCCAGCAGCCGCGGUAAUACGUAGGGAGCAAGCGUUAUCCGGAAUUAUUGGGUGUAAAGGGUGCGUAGACGGGAUAACAAGUUGGUUGUGAAACCCCUCGGCUCAACUGAGGAACUGCAACCAAAACU